GAGUUUGAUCGUGGCUCAGAUUGAACGCUGGCGGCAUGCCUUACACAUGCAAGUCGAACGGCAGCAUGAUCUAGCUUGCUAGAUUGAUGGCGAGUGGCGAACGGGUGAGUAAUACAUCGGAACGUGCCCUGUAGUGGGGGAUAACUAGUCGAAAGAUUAGCUAAUACCGCAUACGACCUGAGGGUGAAAGUGGGGGACCGCAAGGCCUCAUGCUAUAGGAGCGGCCGAUGUCUGAUUAGCUAGUUGGUGGGUAAAGGCCCACCAAGGCGACGAUCAGUAGCUGGUCUGAGAGGACGAUCAGCCACACUGGGACUGAGACACGGCCCAGACUCCUACGGGAGGCAGCAGUGGGGAAUUUUGGACAAUGGGCGAAAGCCUGAUCCAGCAAUGCCGCGUGUGUGAAGAAGGCCUCGGUUGUAAGUACGACUUU
rnacentral:rRNA from 1 species